AACAGCGUAAGUGUUGUUGUGCUGUGGCU
rnacentral:piRNA from 1 species